GAUGAAUGCUGGCGGAAUGCUUUACACAUGCAAGUCGAGCGGCAGCGCGGGGCAACCUGGCGGCGAGCGGCGAACGGGUGAGUAACACAUCGGAACGUACCCAGUUGUGGGGGAUAGACCGGCGAAAGCCGGAUUAAUACCGCAUACGACCUGAGGGUGAAAGGGGGGGAUCGCAAGACCUCUCGCAGUUGGAGCGGCCGAUGGCGGAUUAGCUAGUGGGUGGGGAAAAGGCCUACCAAGGCGACGAUCCGUAGCUGGUCUGAGAGGACGACCAGCCACACUGGAACUGAGACACGGUCCAGACUCCUACGGGAGGCAGCAGUGGGGAAUUUUGGACAAUGGGGGCAACCCUGAUCCAGCCAUUCCGCGUGAGUGAAGAAGGCCUUCGGGUUGUAAAGCUCUUUCGGCAGGAACGAAACGGUGGGAGUUAAUACCUUCUGCUAAUGACGGUACCUGAAGAAGAAGCACCGGCUAACUACGUGCCAGCAGCCGCCGUAA
rnacentral:rRNA from 1 species